rnacentral:rRNA from 1 species
AUGAACGCUGGCGGCGUGCCUAAUACAUGCAAGUCGAGCGAACGGACGAGAAGCUUGCUUCUCUGAUGUUAGCGGCGGACGGGUGAGUGACACGUGGAUAACCUACCUAUAAGACUGGGAUAACUUCGGGAAACCGGAGCUAAUACCGGAUGAUAUUUUGAACCGCAUGGUUCAAAAGUGAAAGACGGUCUUGCUGUCACUUAUAGAUGGAUCCGCGCUGCAUUAGCUAGUUGGUAAGGUAACGGCUUACCAAGGCAACGAUGCAUAGCCGACCUGAGAGGGUGAUCGGCCACACUGGAACUGAGACACGGUCCAGACUCCUACGGGAGGCAGCAGUAGGGAAUCUUCCGCAAUGGGCGAAAGCCUGACGGAGCAACGCCGCGUGAGUGAUGAAGGUCUUCGGAUCGUAAAACUCUGUUAUUAGGGAAGAACAUAUGUGUAAGUAACUGUGCACAUCUUGACGGUACCUAAUCAGAAAGCCACGGCUAACUACGUG